CAUGUUGUAAAUAUUCUGGUGCUUGAGACAGAGAACAAGCUGGUUGUUGAGGUUGCUUUGAAUGUUUUUAGAGAUGCAAUGAGCUUGUUGGGCUCUUGUAAGGAUGGAUUGAGCUUUGCUUGUGUUUGCAUCACCAGAACACUCUGUGGUCAGAACUUGUGAAGGCUGUUGAGGUUAUGAAGCACAUAAAGAUGUUUGAAAUAGGCAGGUGCUUGAAGAGCGUUUAAAGUAGGUAGGUGCUGGAACAGGUACUAGAUAAGAUAAAGUAUUUGGUGGGUGUUGGCAUAUGGCAGAUGAUUACAUACGGCGGCUGAUGGAUUGUGUGAGAUGGCUCUGGAAUUAAUAUGGAAGAGCUUGGCAUGAGAGGCUUGUGGUGGUGGACUGCUUGGUGCCAAUAGCUAGUAGGCUUACUUGGAGUAGAGUUGGUGUUUUAGUGACUGGAAAGCAUUUGUUGGUAAUCAAGAUCCUUUCAACAUUAUGUUGGAUGCCAAGGACAAAGAAAGGCUUGAGAUUCUUCAAAAGGAUGCUAUAGUCGAUUCAGUAGCUGGGUAAGACAUUUUGGUGAUAAAGACAAAAGGCAUCCCUGUAGUCUUCA
rnacentral:lncRNA from 1 species